GCGGACGUAGCUCAAUGGUAGAGCCUCUGCCUUCCAAGCAGAUCACGCGGGUUCGAUUCCCGUCGUCCGCU
rnacentral:tRNA from 1 species